CUCAACUGUUUCUAGUGCACAGGCAGCAAACACGAGGCCCGUGGGCUGAACCUAGCCCUCCACCUUGUUUUAUCUGGCCCAGCACUUGUUUCUACCCAGCGGCAGCACCAAGCCCUCUCUUAACUGUUAAGGAGAAGUUACAUUUAUAC